ACAUUGUGUCAUUCCUACAUUCUCUUUUGGGAUGCAAGAUAGGGUUCUGUUUACACACCCAUUCCCAUCAUAUUUUCCUUGAACACAGAUAGCAGCUUCUGGUCAGGAAAUGCUGAUGAACAUCAAUGGCAUUAUUUAUAUGUGAUGGUAUAAAAGCAUAGCCCAAAAUCAAUCAAGACAAGUUUUAGUCUAUGUGUGUCCAUUUUUUAAUGCUGUCCAGUUCUGAUUUGGCAAACAAGAUAGAGGCCGAUAUUGUGAGGCUGUACUCUUUCCUUUCUCCAAAAGUAGUUUCCUUGUUUUCUUUUUUCCUAUUCUCUCAGAUAUCACAGGUGCAGGACUGUAAAUCAAUGUAGAUCCUGUGGUUCCUUUUUUGUAGAGUGGGCCUUUAAAAAAAAACCAAAAAACUGUAACAUUUUCUCAUUAUCUACCUUUGCCUAUUUAUUUACCUGAAAAGGGUUUUAGUUAAAACCCUGUGAAAUGCUAUGAAGAAGAAUGGGGAUGUGUAACAUCAGCCUCACUGUAGGAGUGAGUCAGGUGGGUGUGUAUUGUGACACAAAAGGGUCCAUUCACAUGGCUAGCAACAAGAAACCAAGAGUCAGAGGUGGGGAGGACAUGGAGAAAUGAAGAAAGGAAAGAGGGAGCCAGAAGGAAACAGAACAAGAGGGAACAGUCCAAGUGGACAUUAAUGGAGAUGAAUGGAGAAACUCAGGAGAGGUGUAUGGAGCAAGAAGAGGAAGCUUGGGAGGAGGUAGUGCAGCAGGCUGAGGGAACCCAAGGGAAGAUCAUGGAGCUGAAUGGAAGACCACAGGAAGACAUCACAGAGCAGGCUAUGGGAGCCCAAGGGAUCAUGGAUAUGGAGGGAAGAGCUCAGGAGGAAGUAAUGGAGCAGGCAUGGGGAACUCGAAGGAAGAUCAUGGAGCUGGAUGGAAAAGCCUGGGAAGUGGUCACAGAGCAGACUCUGGGAGCCCAAGGGAAGAUGGAAUUGAGUGGAAGGGACUGGGAGGAAAUCACACAGCAGGCUGGUGGAGCACGGGGCAAGAUCAUGGAACUGGAUGGAAGAGCCCAGAAAGAAGUCAUGGAGCAGGUGGGGGGAGCCCAAGGGAAGAUGGAAUUGGGUGGAAGAGGCUGGGAGGAAGUCAUGCAGCAGCCUGUGGGAGCUAAAGGGAAGAUCAUGGAGGUGGAUGGAAGAGUCCGGCAAAUGGUCACAGAACAGACUAUGGGAGCCCAAAGAAAGGUGGAGUUGGAUGGAAGAGCCUGGAUGGAAGUCACAGAGCAGGCUGGAAGAGAUAAAGGGAAGAUAAUGAAGCUGGAUGGAAGAGCACAGGCAGAGGUCAAGGAGCAGGUUCAGGAAAACCAGGAAGUGGGUGUGAAACUGGUGAAGGACCUGUUAACAGUGGUUGCCACUUCUGCUCUUCCCCAUGGCGAGAAAAUGGAAUUGGAGUUUGUGACCCUGCAGUUUAUGAUGGGAGGUAAUGUACACCUGGUUGGGGAAUUGCAGAGCCAACACAUAGUGGAGGAGUUCCAACAGGAAAUGUUUGCUAAGUUUCCUAUACCAGCAUUCUGUGCGACUAACAUAGUGGCUUGUAAUCAAGCAACCAGCAGCAGGACUGAAAGAGGCUUCUCAUUUCAUAAAUUUGGCUGUUCCAGGCAUCAGGACAGAAUCUACUCACAGCUUAUCUUCUUCCUGUGCAGAGCCUCCUCCUUGACAUGCUGUGUGGGGCUAGACCGAUUACUGGAGAUGCUACAACAGCUGAAGAGCUGUAUCUACUAUAUCCCAGUGGCUCUGGUUGGGGUGAUUGUGCAAGCAGACCCAGAUCCAGAAAUGAACCUGGAACAAGAGGUGAAGGCACUGCGGUGGCUGAAGUGCCUACUGGAUGGAGUCUUCUGUUGUGAUUUGUUGUCAGGGCAUGAUGGGACAGAGGAAGAAGUGCAGGUUCAGGUGGCUGUCUACCAGUCAGGCUGGCCUCAGCGGGUUCUAGAGGUUAAGAGAGCAGCCUGCCAGGCAAUACGAGCGGCCCUGAAGUUCUGAACAGGCAGCAUGUGAAAGUGCUCCAGGAUUACAAUGGGUUGAUACGAAGGGAAAUUCAAGGUGCUCAACGCAUCUCAGGAUUAGCCCUCCAAAAUGGACCUAAAUGAGUUCUACAAGCUCCUGUAUGACUGAAGAUCUCAAUUAUCACUGAAAAAUCCAUUCCGAUUGUCCCAGGUGUCCGUGUGCAUUUUUUAAUUUUGAAAAUAAUCAUUGCUUAAUAUUUUGUAAGCAAACAAGCCACACUCACUUUAGGUAUUUGCACUUUGACAUCACGUUACUAAUGUUUAAUAGGUAACUGAACUUCAGAGUCAAAGUGUGCUAUAGAAAUGUAUGGAGAGUUGGAUGGCUCAAUGAAUGAAUGGACUACAGAAUGCUGUGUUUUGAUUUGUAGCUAGCGAGUGACAUGUGGAAGAUUUUCAAGUACCAUAGCUUUCUACUGACCUGCAAAUUGUGGAAUAAACCCAAAUUUGCAAUAUUUAAGUCUUAGAUGAGUUUUUAUCCCAGCAGCAAUAUCUAUUUGUUGGACUUGCCUUUACACCUGAAAUGGAUUGUAGGCUCAGAUCACUUUCACCUCUUUAGGAUAUAGUUGCCAUGUUUCAAAAAAGCUUUAUUCCAUUCUUGUCUGCUUGAUUUUUAGACACAAAUUUCUUAUGAUGCAAAUACCAAGCACUUGAAUGAAUGGAAUAUUUUCUUGUUUAGUUCAAUUUUUAAUGGGAAUCUUCUUUUCAGAGCAGUGGUCCAUCUAACCCAGUAUUCCAUCUUUCAACAAGCUCCUUCAUAGGGAAUGCAGAGAACAGUGCAGUUAUUGAGUGAUCUAACCCAUCAUUCACUCCCAGCUUCUGGCAGAUAGAGGUUAGGGAUGUCCAUCUUGACUAAUAGCUAUUGUUGGACCUAUCCACCCUCGACUGUAUUUCACAGAGAAAGUAGUUGGGACUUACUAUAAUUGGCCUUUAUAGAGGGUUAAAUGGUACUGCUUCACUAUUCCACAGAGUUAACAGGUUCUUGAGUGCCUGAGUAACUCAUUUAAUUUAUGCACCCCUGCUUUGGACUGUAUUCAGUUGCCACUGAAAGCAACAGAAAGAUUUAACAGGGACCGGAGAAGACCCUUAGCAAGAAUGGGAGUGUUUUUUCAAAGAAAACUGGAAAAAACACUAUAUAGAAAAAAAUCUUUAAAAAAAAAAAGAGGUUAUCAGUUUUUCCUCAAGAGUAUUAACAUACUCACCUGCUCAGGUUAGUUACCAGACGCAACUGGAUUGUCUUUCACUCUUUUGCUUGCUCAACUAGCAAUUUAAAUCAAGUGCCACUAAUUUACAUGUGUCAAUGUCUCAGUACCUAAAAGCUUCCUUUCUUCCUUGGUAUAAAACAAAAAUUUUGGCCUUUUCAGCCCAUACCAAAAAGCACAUUUAUAAAUAAUUCACAAGCCACUAGGCUUUACAAAUGGGUGGAAGAGAUGCUAGCAGGUAACUUACAAGGAGAGAAAUUCCAGCUAUCCAGUGGUAGCAAUAAUCUGAUAAUCUCAUGCAUCUAGCCACUCAGGCUGACAGAAAAGGUCUUCCUUUGUUUGUACCGUUGGCUGAACAUUGCCCUUGCAAGCUUUGCUUAGUUUCCAUUGUGCACACUAAUUUAUCAGAACAUUAUUAUAAAGAGUGAUCAAAGAAAGUUUUUAAAUGGUUUAUAAGGUGGAAUACAUUAUUAAUAGAUGAUGUAUGUGUUCUAGGUGGUUAUAAGUACAAAUGUGGAAAAUGAUAUAGUGGUUAAAAAUAGAUAUUGCAACUGCACACCAUCUCUUUGGGAUUACAUUGUUUUAAAUGUAUGUAUAUCAUUAUGGGUCUAGGAUUGUAUGCAAUUCUGGGAGGGGUUGGGGUCAGAGAAUCAGUUUCUCCAGGGGCUAAAAAAAACAGAGGGAUGUUUGACCAAUAAUGAUUAACCCUUACAAUUUAAAAAUGGCACCUUACUAAGAAGUAUGAUUACUAUUUGUAUUUCAGUAGUCCCCAGGAGGUGCCAACCAAAAUGGGCAUCAUCAUGCCAAGCAUUGUGUGAUUGAAGUAUUUUAUGGAUUUCUGUUUUAAGCUUUAGUUUGUUUCUCAUGAACAGAACCUAUAGCUGACAAGAGACAACCUCCGUCUCAUGUAAAAUGUCUUAUGUAUUUGGGGCUGAAAGAAAACCCAGUUGCACUUUUUACAUGAGAUAUGAUAUUAACAGGAUCCAGGCCAAAUUCUUAUUCUGAUAAAUGCAUUUUAACUACCUACAUUCCAGGAAUUGAUAUUCUGCACUUCUCAGAUAUCACCUUUUUCAGAUAUAGUCACUCUGUUAGAAACAGCUGCCUAGUUUCAAACCACAGCUGGCUGUAGGUGGUUAUACAUGCUCCAUAUUUUAGCUACAUGAUAGGAUGGGUUAAGUAAUUUACACAUUUUAAAAGUUGCAUAAUUUAUGCAUUUGGCUGAGAUCUUCAAAUACACUCUGUAGAUUUGAACACAUUAGCCCUAUUAAAUUUUAAUAGGGAGUCAAACACCCAAAUCACUUAUGCAGCUUUGGAAAAAAAUCUCCAGACAGCCUCCUUCCUCUGCAAGGCAUGGCAAAAGCUAUAUAUGGAAGAGAAGACAUUCUCUGUAGGGCUAAGUUCUUUCUGAGCAACAAGACAAAAAGCUGAGAACAUCAUGUAAUACAGACAAAAAAAUUUGCUAUUAGACUGGUGUAUAUAUCACUGAAAGAAUCACUAUCUCUAACUCUGAACAAGGAACUAGAGGGGAAAAAAAGUUAUACUGAUAAAGCUAUUCUGGGACUUUCCUAAGCCCUUCCUUCGUGUUUAGCUUUCUGCUAUAGGGUAAAGAAAAUAAUCCAUAUUACAUAGUUUGACAUUUUUGCCCUCUUAUUUUUCUUCAUAAGAUUUUUAAAAUUAAACAAAAAAUUAUAGAUCCAGGAGUCAGUGGGUUCACCACUUGUUUAAGUCUGUGAUCUUGAGGGUCUUGUCCUAUAGUUUUCAUUUAGAGCAGGGGUCUCCAAACUUUUCAGCCCG